UGGGGAAUAUUGGACAAUGGGCGAAAGCCUGAUCCAGCAAUGCCGCGUGAGUGAUGAAGGCCUUAGGGUUGUAAAGCUCUUUUACCCGGGAAGAUAAUGACUGUACCGGGAGAAUAAGCCCCGGCUAACUCCGUGCCAGCAGCCGCGGUAAUACGGAGGGGGCUAGCGUUGUUCGGAAUUACUGGGCGUAAAGCGCACGUAGGCGGCUUUGUAAGUUAGAGGUGAAAGCCCGGAGCUCAACUCCGGAAUUGCCUUUAAGACUGCAUCGCUAGAAUUGUGGAGAGGUGAGUGGAAUUCCGAGUGUAGAGGUGAAAUUCGUAGAUAUUCGGAAGAACACCAGUGGCGAAGGCGACUCACUGGACACAUAUUGACGCUGAGGUGCGAAAGCGUGGGGAGCAAACAGG
rnacentral:rRNA from 1 species